CUCUCUCUUUUCCCCCUCCCUUUCUCUCUCUAUAAAGAAUCUUGGCAGGUUUUUCCCUUGCUAAUCACCCAACUUUGCUUGCCUUUUCUUUUCCUAUUACUUAUCAUAAACAACUCUCCCCUCUCUCUCUCUCUCUCUCUACUUCUCUAGGAUUUAUAAACUCUGCCUAAUUCUCUCUCUUCAAUCAAACCCUUUCUCAAAUUCUUAUGGAGCUAUGGCCAUACAGGAAGGGGAUUCAGAAAGGGAGAAGAAAAGGGGGAAUGAGAAAUGGGGUGAAGAGGUGAAGGUGGUGGUGGUGGUUAGUGAGAGAAUGGAAGAGGAGGGUGAAUGUAGAGAGAGAAAGAAUAGUGCUAUAAAUCGGUUCGAGUUUUGCAACCCCCGAAUUGCGAGAUAUGUGUAUGGAUUCAUGUUCCUGCUCAUGAAUGUACUCGCUUGGAUCGUUCGAGAUUAUGGCCACGCCUUUCUUGAUGAGUUCAAACGGUUUGAGGAGUGUGAGGGUGGACGUUAUUGUUUGGGGACCGAGGGCGUACUUCGCGUGAGCCUCGGUGGCUUCAUAUUCUUCUUCGUGAUGUUUGUAUCAACGGUGGGGACAUCGAAGCUGAGUGAACGUCGUAACACGUGGCACUCUGGAUGGUGGUUGGUGAAAACUGGUGCAGCAUUUGUUUUGACGCCUCUUCCUUUUCUCCUUCCAAAUGUUCUGAUCCGAGCAUACGGGACAGUGGCUCAUUUUGGUGCAGGGGUUUUCCUUCUCAUACAGCUGAUAAGUGUGAUCAGCUUGUUCACUUGGAUCAAUGACUGUUGCCGGUCAGAGAAAUAUGUUGACAAAUGCCGCUUUCAAGUAGUAUCAAUAUCAGCAGCUGCCUACAUAUUCUCCAUGCUGGGGAUUGUGUUGAUGUAUGUUUGGUAUGCACCCAAGCUAUCAUGCAGCUUGAACAUUUUCUUUAUCACUGGGACCCUGGUGCUCCUACACCUCAUGGCCUGGACAUCUCUCCAUGUGACGGUAAAUGCAGGGUAUCUGACCCCUGGGCUUAUGGGGCUCUAUGUUGUAUUCCUUUGUUGGUGUGCUAUUAGAAGUGAGCCACCAACUGAGAGUUGCAAUAAGAAGGCAGAGGCUACAACAAGUGCAGAUUGGCUUUCAAUCAUAGGGUCAAAUAUGUCUACAGAGCUUCAUUAUGGCAGUGAUAGCCAUUGUCAUAGCAACAUUUUCAACUGGCAUAGACUCCAAAUCAUUUCAGUUCAAGAAGGUCAAAGCUAAGUCAGAAGCUGAUGUUCCCUAUGGUUAUGGCUUCUUUCAUUUUGUGUUUGCUACGGGAGCCAUGUAUUUCUGCAUGCUUCUAAUUGGCUGGAAUGUGCAUCACACCAUGCAAAAAUGGACAAUAGAUGUUGGAUGGACUAGUACUUGGGUUCGGAUUCUCAACGAAUGGUUAGCAGCAUGUGUCUAUAUUUGGAUGCUGAUUGCCCCUCUCAUUUGGAAGAACAAUCAAUCUUCAGGAACCACAUGAAUGCCCAUGCUUGUAAUUUAUUUGAUUUUCCAUUAUGGGAUGGAUGUACAGUGGAAAUGUUCAGUCCAUGGAAUUGUUUGUGUUUACCAAAUCAAAUCACCAAAAGAAGACCUUUGGAUAUACCAUAGCAGAAUUUCAUACAGAAGAAAGGGAGUGGAUUUCCAGCUGUUAAAGCUGCAUUGACAGAGGGUUUUUUCUAGUGGCUAUUUCCCUGUAAUGGUUAAGCGUGGAUUGAAAAAAUGAUGUAGCAAUUCUAGUCAUUUCUAUGCACUAAACUGCAAAUUGCAGUAAUUUUCUCUCGUUAUUUGUAUUUGUUUUUGGAA